AUUGAACGCUGGCGGCAUGCCUUACACAUGCAAGUCGAACGGGCUUUUGGGGCCUGCUCCAAAAGUUAGUGGCGAACGGGUGAGUAAUAUAUCGGAACGUGCCCUAGAGUGGGGGACAACCAGUCGAAAGAUUGGCUAAUACCGCAUACGAUCUAAGGAUGAAAGUGGGGGACCUUCGGGCCUCAUGCUCCUGGAGCGGCCGAUAUCUGAUUAGCUAGUUGGUGGGGUAAAGGCCCACCAAGGCGACGAUCAGUAGCUGGUCUGAGAGGACGAUCAGCCACACGGGGACUGAGACACGGCCCAGACUCCUACGGGAGGCAGCAGUGGGGAAUUUUGGACAGUGGGGGCAACCCUGAUCCAGCAAUGCCGCGUGAGUGAAGAAGGCCUUCGGGUUGUAAAGCUCUUUUGUCAGGGAAGAAACGGUGGGGGCUAAUAUCCUCUGCUAAUGACGGUACCUGAAGAAUAAGCACCGGCUAACUACGUGCCAGCCGCCGCGGUAAAAC
rnacentral:rRNA from 1 species